rnacentral:piRNA from 1 species
GAUAUUUGAUGGUACUUGCUUGG